rnacentral:rRNA from 1 species
AUUGAACGCUAGCGGGGUGCUUUACACAUGCAAGUCGAACGAGUGGCGGACGGGUGAGUAAUAUAUCGGAACGUGCCCAGGAGCGGGGGAUAACUACUCGAAAGAGUGGCUAAUACAGCAUACUAUUGGAGCGGCCGAUAUCGGAUUAGCUAGGUGGUGGGGUAAACGCUAACUAAGGCCACGAUCCGUAGCUGGUUUGAGAGGACGACCAGCCACACUGGGACUGAGACACGGUCCAGACUCCUACGGUAGGCAGCAGGGGUGAAUUUGGGACAAUGGGGGAAACCCUGAGCCAGCCAGCCCGAGUGUAUGAGAAGGCCCUCGGGUUGUAAAGUACUUUUGGCAGUGAAGCGGUAUCUGCAGAAUAAGCACCGGCUAACUACGUGCCAGCAGCCGCGGUAAUUC